rnacentral:rRNA from 1 species
AGCGUGAGCCUACGGGGGGCAGCAGUGGGGAAUAUUGCACAAUGGGCGCAAGCCUGAUGCAGCGACGCCGCGUGCGGGAUGGAGGCCUUCGGGUUGUAAACCGCUUUUGUUCAAGGGCAAGGCAGGCUUUCGGGCCUGUUGAGUGGAUUGUUCGAAUAAGCACCGGCUAACUACGUGCC